rnacentral:rRNA from 1 species
GAUGAACGCUGGCGGCGUGCCUAAUACAUGCAAGUCGAGCGAACGGACGAGAAGUUUGCUUCUCUGAUGUUAGCGGCGGACGGGUGAGUAACACGUGGAUAACCCACCUCUAAGACUGGGAUAACUUCGGGAAACCGUAGCUAAUACCGGAUAAUAUUUUGAACCGCAUGGUUCAAAAGUGAAAGACGUUCUUGCUGUCACUUAUAGCUGGAUCCGCGCUGCAUUAGCUAGUUGGUAAGGUAACGGCUUACCAAGGCAACAAUGCAUAGCCGACCUGGGAGGGUGAUCGGCCACUCUGGAGCUGGACCGCGGUCCUGACUCCUACGGGAGGCAGCAGUAGGUAAUGUUCCGCAAUGGGCGAAAGCCUGACGGAGCAACGCCGGGUGAGUGAAGAAGGUCUUCGGAUCGUAAGACGCUGUUAGGAGGGAAGAACAUAUUUGUAAGUAACUGUGCACUUCGUGACGGUACCUAAACAGAAAGCCACGGCUAACUACGUG